CUAGUACCGAAAAUAGCCGACUUUGGUCUGUCAAAGUGCUUCACUGAAGACCAAAGCCAGAUUAACAUUUCACAACUUGCUGGAACACCAGGUUAUUUGGCACCAGAAUUCUACGGUGGAAAAAUCACACCCAAGGUGGACAUAUAUAGUCUUGGUAUUAUAAUUGCAGAGAUGCUAACAGGACAAAAGGGAUACACCAAAAUGGAGAAGAUACUUGAAAGUUGGAGUUAUAGAUUGGACAAAUCAAAUGGGGAAACUCAGUUGGAACAAGUACGAGUGUGCGCAGAGGUAGGGAAAGAAUGCACUGAAUAUAACCCAGCGAUACGACCAGAUCCAGGGAGUAUUAUCAAGAGGCUUGAAGAAACAGAAAGCAUGAUUGGGUUCACUGAAAAUGUCGUGAGUAGUUCAUUCGUGAAGUAG
rnacentral:rRNA from 1 species